GGUUCUGGGCAUAGUGGUUUGAGCAUUGGGCUAGGACUCUGGAGUCCUGAGUUCAAUUCCCACUCAGAAUCA